rnacentral:rRNA from 1 species
ACGGCUCACCAAGGCUAUGACGGGUAGCUGGUCUGAGAGGAUGGUCAGCCGCACUGGGACUGAGACGCUGCCCAGACUCCUACGGGAGGCUGCAGUCGAGGAUCUUUUGCAAUGGGCGCAAGCCUGACAAAGCGACGCUGCGUGGAGGAUGAAGGCCUUCGGGUUGUAAACUCCUGUCAUUCGGGAACAAUACUGUGGAAGCUAAUACCUUCUGCGAUUGAUGGUACCGGAAGAGGAAGCCACGGCUAACUCUGUGCCAGCAGCCGCGGUAAUACAGAGGUGGCGAGCGUUGUUCGGAUUUACUGGGCGUAAAGGGUGCGUAGGUGGCUUCGUGUGUCGGGUGUGAAAUCCCACGGCUCAACUGUGGAACUGCGCCCGAAACUGCGGGGCUAGAGUGCAGGAAGGGAGAGCGGAAUUCUUGGUGUAGCGGUGAAAUGCGUUGAUAUCAAGAGGAACACCGGUGGCGAAGACGGCUCUCUGGAAUGCAACUGACACUGAGGCACGAAAGCUGGGGGAGCAAACAGGAUUAGAUACCCUGGUAGUCCCAGCCUUAAACGGUGUGCACUUGGUGUGGGAGGAAUUAACCCCUCCCGUGCCGGAGCUAACGCGUUAAGUGCACCGCCUGGGGAGUACGGCCGCAAGGCUAAAACUCAAAGAAAUUGACGGGGGCCCGCACAAGCGGAGGAGCAUGUGGCUUAAUUCGAUGCAACGCGAAGAACCUUACCUGGGCUUGACAUGCAGCUGCAGGCCGGAUGAAAGUUCGGCGGCCUUCGAGGGUGCUGCACAGGUGCUGCAUGGCUGUCGUCAGUUCGUGCCGUGAGGUGUUUGGUUAAGUCCAGCAACGAACGCAACCCUUGUGUUUAUUUGCCACCCCCGAUGAUGAGUUGGGGAGCACUAUAGACAGACUGCCCGUGCAAGCGGGAGGAAGGUCGGGAUGACGUCAAGUCAGUAUGGCCCUUACGCCCAGGGCUGCACACGUGCUACAAUCGGAGGUACAGAGGGAAGCGAAACCGCGAGGUGGUGCAAAUCCCAUAAAACCUCCGCCAGUUCAGAUUGAAGUCUGCAACUCGACUUCAUGAAGCCGGAUUCGCUGGUAAUGGCGCAUCAGCUACGGCGCCGUGAAUACGUUCCCGGGCCUUGUACACACCGCCCGUCACAUCAUGAAAGCCGUCUGCACCCGAAGUCACUGUUCGAACCUGCAAAGGGAGUAGGUGCCUAAGGUGU